rnacentral:rRNA from 1 species
AGGGAAUAUUGCACAAUGGGGGAAACCCUGAUGCAGCAACGCCGCGUGAGUGAUGAAGGCCUUCGGGUCGUAAAGCUCUGUCGUACGGGAAGAUAAUGACGGUACCGUAAAAGAAAGCACCGGCUAACUUCGUGCCAGCAGCCGCGGUAAGACGAGGGGUGCUAGCGUUGUUCGGAAUUACUGGGCGUAAAGCGCAUGUAGGCGGUUAUUUAAGUCAGAUGUGAAAGCCCUGGGCUCAACCCAGGAAGUGCAUUUGAAACUAUUUAACUUGAGUAUCGGAGAGGGCAGUGGAAUUCCUGGUGUAGUGGUGAAAUACGUAGAUAUCAGGAGGAACACCGGAGGCGAAGGCGGCUGCCUGGCCGAAUACUGACGCUGAGAUGCGAAAGCGUGGGGAGCAAAC